AGCACAGCAGGCAGGCAGGCAUUUUCCUUUCUGUCUUUCAUGUAAUGACCGUGAAAUCCCUUCCAUAAGAACAUAGAGGUUUUGUUCUGUUCUGUUUCUAUUUUCAGAACAAUAAGUCUCCAAUGCACCACCACCCACCGGAAAAAGAGCACACAGUGACUGACAAGGAGCCAGCACAGGUGCAGGAGCCACCAGUGGCCAGGACCAGUCGGGGUUCAUCUGGGACCGAGGAACCCUGGGUGGCAGGUACUAUUGGCACCAUUUUCCAGAUAAAGAAAAUGAAGUUCUAAGCAGUCAAAUGACAUGUCAAGAUCACCCAACUGAUAUUUGAGGACUGUCUGCAAUUUAAAUGUGCACAGAAUGAGACUCAGAAAGGUGGAGACUCCCAGUAAAGGAUGACAGAGGGCACAGAAGCCACCAGCAGAUUCUUUGGAAGGAAGUAACAGGAGUGGAACUUCAUUUUCCCAUGGAUUGUAAAGGGCUGGGCUCCCUUCCACCUCUUCUCACUGGCCUCCUGUUUGUACCCCUGACCUCUCCGGGAUCUGGAUCCCAACACUGUCUUCUGCAAUGAAAACCCUGAUUUUCUAUAUCUGGACAAAAGACUAGGACAUAACGAGAAUUUUAGCGGAAGGAACUGAGGGAGAGAGAUUGCACAGCAGACAAGGACAAAUAAAGGGAAGGUGGAAACAAGGGU
rnacentral:lncRNA from 1 species